rnacentral:rRNA from 1 species
GGCGACCUACGGGACGCAGCAGUGAGGAAUAUUGGUCAAUGGGCGGGAGCCUGAACCAGCCAAGCUGCGUGAGGGAAGAAGGUACAGCGUAUCGUAAACCUCUUUUGUCAGGGAACAAAGGCGGGGACUAGUCCCCGGAUGAGGGUACCUGAAGAAAAAGCAUCGGCUAACUCCGUGCCAGCAGCAGCGGUAAUACGGAGGAUGCGAGCGUUAUCCGGCUUUAUUGGGUUUAAAGGGUGCGCAGGCGGCCUGUUAAGUCAGCGGUAAAAGCCCGGGGCUCAACCCCGGCGAGCCGUU